rnacentral:rRNA from 1 species
CCUACGGGAGGCAGCAGUGGGGAAUCUUGGGCAAUGGGCGCAAGCCUGACCCAGCAACGCCGCGUGAAGGAAGAAGGCUUUCGGGUUGUAAACUUCUUUUCUCAGGGACGAAGCAAGUGACGGUACCUGAGGAAUAAGCCACGGCUAACUACGUGCCAGCAGCCGCGGUAAUACGUGGGUGGCAAGCGUUAUCCGGAUUUACUGGGUGUAAAGGGCGUGUAGGCGGGACUGCAAGUCAGAUGUGAAAACCAUGGGCUCAACCUAUGGCCUGCAUUUGAAACUGUAGUUCUUGAGUACUGGAGAGGCAGACGGAAUUCCUAGUGGAGCGGUGAAAUGCGUAGAGAUUAGGAGGAACACCAGUGGCGAAGGCGGUCUGCUGGACAGCAACUGACGCUGAGGCGCGAAAGCGUGGGGAGCAAACAGGAUUAGAUACCCGUGUAGUC